UACAGAGGUCUCGAGCGUUGUUCGGAUUCAUUGGGCGUAAAGGGCGCGUAGGCGGCGGGGUAAGUCUGGUGUGAAAUCUCGGAGCUCAACUCCGAAAUUGCACUGGAUACUGCUCUGCUAGAGGGCUGGAGAGGAGAUCGGAAUUCACGGUGUAGCAGUGAAGUGCGUAGAUAUCGUGAGGAACACCGGUGGCGAGGGCGGCAUCCUGGACCGGCAUUGACGCUGAGGAGCGAAAGCCAGGGGAGCAAACGGG
rnacentral:rRNA from 1 species